GUUUGUUGGGUUGGCUCUGCAGGGCUGGCAGGAGUCCAAGGCAGUUCAGUCAGUGGAUGUGCCUGCUUGAGGAGACAGGACCUCGUCUGCGGUGAGCAGAGCCAUGUUCAGAGUGCCCAAGGGUGAGUAAGAGGUGUGAUGUGCCCUGUCCUGGCGUGUGUGUCUGCUCCAUUUGGACCAUGGGAAUUGGCUAAGGGCUGCGCUGCCACUGGUCACUCUCCUUAAUUGUCAGGGGGGUUGAUUACAGCCAUCUGCGGGGCAGAUGCAUUGGCCUGCUUUAGGGACACUGGCUUGAGCAUAAGCCUAAUAGUGAUGGGUGGAGGGUGACUUCUGAGGAGCUUUUUUGCAGCUGCUGGCCUCUGUUAUUUCAGCACCGGAUUGCUGCUUGUGAGACGGGCGCACUGCCUGCCCCUGCGUUGCCACUGUGGCCUGAAGCUCCGUGCUCUGACGGCUCUUCGGAGCGCUGCCUGGGAAGGUUGCUCCGCUUUACUCCAUACAGGCCUCAUUCCCGUCCACGCCCAUGCUUGUGUCUCCUGCAAGCCCACUGUUGGCGUUUGGUGCUCAGUGGGCUGCUGAGGGCAGGUGCCUUUGCCAAGGGAGUGUGGAGGAGAGAGCAUUGUUUUAGCAGUCGAUUCAAUUCAUAGCCUUGGUGCUGGCAUCCAGGUUUUCUGCUGUUAUUAAAUGAGACCUUAUUAAAUGAGCAGCUGCUGCUUCCCGUGCAUCUCGGACCCCUAGCCAGGCUCCAGGAGUCUAGCGCACGUGCCCAAAAGAACAUAAAUUGAAACAUUCAGAAAAUACAGUUCUGCCCCCGCAAGUAUCCCUCUGAAGAGCCGGUGUCCCAGUGGGGCUGAUCUACGGAGCCAUGGAGAAUGUGCCAUUCACAUCGUGCUCAGGGAGGUUGUUUGAAGAGGGAGAUGCCAUUUCGGGGGUUGGCAUGUCAAACACCAACUCACCCCGCAUCUGCGGCAGUGAACUGAGCUGGAAAAUGAACUAACUUGCAGGGGAAGCCCUUGAGUAUCUGCAUCGGGGCUCGGAGGGGCUGUCUUGUCCUCAGAUGCACCCACAGCAGCAGGCAGAUUAUAGUGAUCUCAGCCCAAGAAGCUCUGGAAUGUGAUUCCUUCUGAGGACGUGCUCAGUUGAGACACAAUGACAUUGACUUGGUGUGCAGCAGAAUGUAGUAAGAAAAGCAUGGAAUGGAUUUCAUUAACACGACUGAGCUGCUUGUGAAUGGUUUUGUGGCUACACAUAUUGGUGAUGUCUUUCUCUGAAUGUCACUGUCAUUGGCAGUGGAAGUCACUAUAUUUGUCACUGGUCACUGACACUUAUUUUCUCGCUACUGAAACUCAAAAGUCACUAAAGCGAGUGACAAAGUAGCUAAAUUGGCAACAUGGGGACCCACCUCCCCAACCAGCAGGGGGUCUUCAUGUCCGAGUUCCCCAUUGGUGGAGCUGAGAUUGAAAGAGCUGGAGGACCAUGAGAGACAAGCAGCAUGAACUGGUGAUGGCAGAGCUGAGAGGCAGAAGGACCCUUGCCGGGUGAAAAAAACAAUCUACAAGCUGCCUGGGAUGGACCCUUUAAGAUCAUCAAGCAGCUGAAUGAGCCAGACCUCAGAGGAACAUGUGUCCCAGGUUAAACAACUGCUGAACCAGCUCCAGGAUGCAAGAUUGACUGACUGUAUAAGCUGGGAACUGCAAAGUGGGGAUGGCAGAGGUAUUGUACCUGGGCCACAAGGUGGGGAGCAGCUGCCUAAAGACAGAGCCAAACAAGGUGGAGGUGACCAGACAUUGGCCUCUGCCCCAGACUAAGAAACCUUUAUUGGGGUGGCAGGGCGCUACCGGAGGUUUGUGCCUGACAUUAGCUCCAUUGCCACUCCCAUCACAGAGUUAUGGAAGACGGGUAAGUCAGACAAGGUAGUCUGGACUGAGCAGUGCCAGAGGGUUCUCCGUGCUCUGAAAGAGGCUCUGGUCAGGGGCCCAGUGCUGGUAAACCCAGACUUUGAUAGGCCCUUUAUGGUGUUCGCCGACACCUCAGACAUGGGGCAGGGUGCAGUGCUGACGCAGGUUGACGAGAAGGGGGAGAAACACCCCAUUGGGUACCUGAGCAAGAAAUUGCCCCCCUAUGAACAGAACAAUGGGGCCAUAGAGAAGGAAUGCCUGGCCAUGGUGUGGGCCCUUAAAAAGCUGCAGCCGUAUCUAUUUGGGACGUGCUUUACUCACCCCUGAUGUGGCUACACUUGAUGAAAGGGGCCAAUGCCAAGCUCCUGAGGUGGAGUCUGCUCCUUUAGGAUUACAAUAUGGAGGUGGUCCGUGUUAAGGGAGUGCCAACAUUAUAGCUGAUGCCUUGUCAUGCAGAGGGGGGCCUGAACUUCCCCAAGUCACUGGCUAAAGUGAUCAUGCUCAGUUUGGUCUCAGAGGGAGGAGAGAUGUGAUGAAGUGGAAUUUUUCCCCUUAUGUUGCAUGUGAGUCUUACUGCCCUGUAUUAAUACUUUGUGUGCCUCAGUUUCCCUGUGUACUGCACCAAUGCCAAGGUGGUGGGAAUUGGGUGUGUGACUUUUUCUGAGGCCCUUGGGGCAGGUGAGGCUGCCCAGCUGCCUGCAUGUAGGGGUUGGCCUAUUCCCUUGGUAACCUGAGACCCAGGAGGGGGACGUGACCUGGUGACACUUUGCCUGGGAAGCAGGACCAAGCCCAGUGGGGAAGCAACCGACAUGUUGAAGGCCAGCAGCGGGGCCCAGGGCAGUCUGCUGUGGGGGACUCGAGGAGGGGGAAGUCCACGGCAUCUGGCUCAGGGUUCCCCCAAGAUGGAGUUGGUUGAAACUGUGCUAACAAGCUCUGUUCUAUGCUGUAUUCCUGUCGACUAAUACACCUUCUGUUUUACAAUGCCAGCUGAGAGUCAUUGCUGACCGCAGCAUUGGGGUGCAGGGCCCUUAGGUUUUCCCAGGAGCCCCACACAGGUGGACUCGUUGCAGGAAACGCACAGUGAACGUGGGUGCUGAAUGCUCAGAGGUCAGACACAGGAAAGCCGUGUAGGCUUCUUGCCCUGGCAACAGUGCAAGUGCCCAAGGAGGCAUGCUACCCCAGAGUCCUGACUAGCUUCAGACAGAGCAGUUCCAGAGCAUCGCCCGGUGACUCCAUGACAGAGGGUUGGGUGGAGAGAAUGAGGCAGCAGGAUGGGUGGAGAGGAUAGGGUGAAGGAGGAGAGAGUCGGGACAGAGGGCUCUAGGGAGCAUAGAGCAGUGUGUCCCAGAGGAGAGCCCAGGGAAUGGACAGGGGAUCUCAGAAACCAUUGAGGUGGGUGAGGAUUCCUGUGAUUCUGUAACACAGGGAAGCAGGGUGCUUCCACGUAGGGAAGGGGCUGAGAUUAGCUCCUUUCCAGCAGAAGGUAACAUGCCUUCAGGCACAAGGGCAGGAGAGGUGUUGUCAGUGAUUAAGGAAACUGUCCCAGGUGUUAGCUGGCAGAUUUUUGCAACUGAACCCUUCCUAAGGAGCACAGAGAACUGUGUCUUAGGAGGGGGCCCUGAGGAGGAAACUGGGGAAGGAAUAGUGGGGGUACAGGAUUGUCUCCUCACUAGUCAUUUGGGGCAGGAUGCCCAGGACACUCGGAGGAUGGCUGGGUCAGCAUCUGUGCACCCAGGCACUCAGCCUGUGACUCAGGUUUUGAGAAGAAACUGUGUACCUGACCUCCUGGAGGGGAGCAAUCACACCGCUGACUUCUCAGGGACAGAGAAAGGAGUGGCGGAGGGUACCCAGUCCAGGUCCCAAUUUUUCAGGAUGCUAGUUCUGACAAGUUUUUGGAAAGUAACUGAGUCUCUUUAAACCAAGAUGCAACUCCAAUGCCUGUGAUAACAGAGGAGCUCGGACCAGGAAAUUGCCAGGUGGUAGUUUGCCAGAAUACAGAUGGUCCAACGGCCAGAGAGGGGGGUGUUUUCCUCAGGCAAGUGAGACACAGAAAGCAGUUAUGGGAAAGCUGCUGGGAAAGGUGCCCUCAGAGGGCUGUGAUUUGUGCUCUCUGGGCUAGUUGUGUUUACCCUGGGUGUGUUAGCAGAUCACCAGUCCAGAUAACACCAGAGGGGAACCUCACAACCAGCUGUGAUGACUCUCUCUCUCUGGGACAGGAUCCAGGCCCUGCUCCUGUAACAGCCAAGGAUACAAGUUUGAAUUCAGGGAACCAAUCGGCUGAGACAAACAGUCAAUGUGAAUGCAAAUAACCUGGCUGGCACGGGGGGAGGAGUUGCUAAGCUCAGCUGCCCUGCCUGUCUGUAACCAGGGCCCUGGAGCUGAGUGGGACAGAGAGAUGCUCCCCACUCCCCUGAACACGGGGGAGAUGGCUCAUGCUGGCUCUGAUGCUGUGAGCAAAGCAGCAGGCUUGCUGCCUGCCCUCACUGGGGCAGCAGGGGUGAAGCUGAGUCUGGGGGG